rnacentral:misc_RNA from 1 species
GAAAUGCGAUAAUUAAUGUGAAUUGCAGAAUUCAGUGAAUCAUCGAGUCUUUGAACGCACAUUGCACCCCCUGGUAUUCCGGGGGGUAUGCCUGUCCGAGCGUCAUUGCUGCCCUCAAGCCCGGCUUGUGUGUUGGGUCCUCGUCCCCCCCGGGGGACGGGCCCGAAAGGCAGCGGCGGCACCGCGUCCGGUCCUCGAGCGUAUGGGGCUUUGUCACACCGCUCUCGUAGGCCCGGCCGGCGCUGGCCGACGCUGAAAAGCAACCAUUAUUUCUCCAGGUUGACCUCGGAUCAGGUAGGGAUACCCGCUGAACUUAAGC